GGAGAGGUGCCAGAGUGGUUGAACGGACCGGUUUCGAAAACCGGCAGAGGGAUUUAUCCCUCUCGGGAGUUCGAAUCUCCCCCUCUCCG
rnacentral:tRNA from 2 species